CGUCAGAAAUCCCGGUUGCCAUUCCUAAUAUAAUCAAGAUCUCGGGACUUUCUUGAUGGUAAUAAAAGGAACUCAAAAACGAACGAACUGUCAAGAACUACUUUUUUUCCACAGUGUCCUGCUGUCGAAGAUAAUAAUAAACAAAGGGCCGGGAGAUGCAUGCAUGCAGAUGUGCAUGUGUGUGGCCGGCGUUAUCCUGAUGGGUGGGUGUGCAUGUGCAUCGGAUUUGUGAUAACAGUGUAGAGAUGUGGCGUGACCACUGGAGCAACGAAUGAACGAGCUGAGCGAGAGCGAGCUAGUCGGUCGAUGUGGUUCGUGCUAGUGAUUGCAUGCGUGAGGUGACACCACUUCGCUAGCUAGCUUUGGCCAACACAACAGCAUAGCAUAGCAUGCGUCAAGUAAGUUACUUAGACAUUUUUCAACAGUUAGUUAGUUUAAAGAAUAUAAUAGAAUAUAUGACUUUAUAGGUGAGAGCACGUCAAGUAGACAAGCAACUUCAUAGUCAAAUGGAAUAACGAGUGAGAAUGUGUGUGCCGCCGAAAGCUAUACUUUUGAUCCAUAUACCCUCUCGAGUCUCAUCUCUUAGCUAGCUUGU
rnacentral:lncRNA from 7 species